GAUGAACGCUGGCGGCGUGCCUAAUACAUGCAAGUCGAGCGAACGGACGAGAAGCUUGCUUCUCUGAUGUUAGCGGCGGACGGGUGAGUAACACGUGGAUAACCUACCUAUAAGACUGGGAUAACUUCGGGAAACCGUAGCUAAUACCGGAUAAUAUUUUGAACCGCAUGGUUCAAAAGUGAAAGACGGUCUUGCUGUCACUUAUGGAUGGAUCCGCGCUGCAUUAGCUAGUUGGUAAGGUAACGGCUUACCAAGGCAACGAUGCAUAGCCGACCUGAGAGGGUGAUCGGCCACACUGGAACUGAGACACGGUCCAGACUCCUACGGGAGGCAGCAGUAGGGAAUCUUCCGCAAUGGGCGAAAGCCUGACGGAGCAACGCCGCGUGAGUGAUGAAGGUCUUCGGAUCGUAAAACUCUGUUAUUAGGGAAGAACAAAUGUGUAAGUAACUGUGCACAUCUUGACGGUACCUAAUCAGAAAGCCACGGCUAACUACGUG
rnacentral:rRNA from 1 species